rnacentral:rRNA from 1 species
GAUGAACGCUAGCGGCAGGCUUAAUACAUGCAAGUCGUGGGGCAGCAUGAAUGUAGCAAUACAUUUGAUGGCGACCGGCAAACGGGUGCGGAACACGUACACAACCUUCCUAUAAGUGGGGAAUAGCCCAGAGAAAUUUGGAUUAAUACCCCGUAACAUAAUGAUGUGGCAUCACAUUAUUAUUAUAGCUUCGGCGCUUUUUGAUGGGUGUGCGGCUGAUUAGAUAGUUGGCGGGGUAACGGCCAACCAAGUCUACGAUCAGUAGCUGAUGUGAGAGCAUAAUCAGCCACACGGGCACUGAGACACGGGCCCGACUCCUACGGGAGGCAGCAGUAAGGAAUAUUGGUCAAUGGACGCAAGUCUGAACCAGCCAUGCCGCGUGAAGGAUUAAGGUCCUCUGGAUUGUAAACUUCUUUUAUCUGGGACGAAAAAAGGCGAUUCUUCGUCACUUGACGGUACCAGAUGAAUAAGCACCGGCUAACUCCGUGCCAGCCGCCGCCGUAAAAC